UCCCAGACUCCUACGGGAGGCAGCAGUGGGGGAUAUUGCACAAUGGGGGGAACCCUGAUGCAGCGACGCCGCGUGGGUGAAGAAGCGCCUCGGCGCGUAAAGCCCUGUCAGCAGGGAAGAAAAUGACGGUACCUGAAGAAGAAGCCCCGGCUAACUACGUGCCAGCAGCCGCGGUAAUACGUAGGGGGCAAGCGUUAUCCGGAUUUACUGGGUGUAAAGGGGGCGCAGACGGCGAUGCUAGCCAGGAGUGAAAGCCCGGGGCCCAACCCCGGGACUGCUCUUGGAACUGCGUGGCUAGAGUGCAGGAGGGGCAGGCGGAAUUCCUGGUGUAGCGGUGAAAUGCGUAGAUAUUAGGAGGAACACCAGUGGCGAAGGCGUCUUACUGGACCGAAACUGACGUUGAGGCUCGAAAGCGUGGGGAGCAAACAGGAUUAGAUACCCCGGUA
rnacentral:rRNA from 1 species